UGGUCUCACUGAUUCCUCCUUCCUGAUGAACCGUAAUGCCAUUAAUNUGGUGUUGCGGGGAAUUUGNACUGUUACUUUGAAAAAAUUAGAGUGUUUAAAGCAANNUAACCNUUGAAUACGUUAGCAUGGAAUAAUGANAUAGGACGUUNGAUCCUAUUUUGUUGGUUUNUAGGAUNGANGUAAUGAUAAAUACGGAUAGUUGGAGGCAUUAGUAUUCAAUUGUCAGAGGUGAAAUUCUUGGAUUUAUUGAAGACUAACUACUGCGAAAGCAUUUGCCAAGGAUGUUUUCAUUAAUACAAGANGCGAAAGUUAGGGGAUCGAAGANGAUCAGAUUCCGUCGUAGUCUUAUACCAUAGAACUAUGCNGNNUAGGGAAUCGGAUGUAUGUAUAAUUUUCAAUGACUCAUUCGGCGCCUUCCGGGAAAC
rnacentral:rRNA from 1 species